UCAUCUACAUCCUCAGUAAGUAGCCUACUACCGACACAGAACAUCUCAGACGAUUUAGACGUUAACUAUCUCCUGUUGUCAAGUUUUCCUUUGCGUACUGUAGUGAAACGUGCUAGUAACACAGUGCUUAUGCAGAUACAUAAACUAACUUCCGAGGCUGCGCGAUUCUCAAACCUUGCCCGACUUUCCUUGAUUCCUAUCUCUAUGGUGGACCUGAGACCACUCUACACCCUGGAGGACUAGGCGAGCACGGCCAAUCACUGCUUACAUGUGGUCCGAAGUCUGACUUGCUAUUGGUUAACAGCGGUAAUGCCCGCCCCAACCCCCGCGCGUCCCUGUCGCUAACUAGGCGCUGUAGGAAAGCCUCGGCCUUUCGGCAGCCGCGAGGUCGGGAGGUCCCUGCCGGUUUGCCGACGUCGGGCCUCAUCGUCCGCACUCCGACUCCCUGAAAAUUCCUGAAUAAAAUGGCUUGGCCCUAA